rnacentral:rRNA from 1 species
CUCAGGACGAACGCUGGCGGCGUGCCUAAUACAUGCAAGUAGAACGCUGAAGAGAGGAGCUUGCUCUUCUUGGAUGAGUUGCGAACGGGUGAGUAACGCGUAGGUAACCUGCCUUGUAGCGGGGGAUAACUAUUGGAAACGAUAGCUAAUACCGCAUAACAAUGGAUGACACAUGUCAUUUAUUUGAAAGGGGCAAUUGCUCCACUACAAGAUGGACCUGCGUUGUAUUAGCUAGUAGGUGAGGUAAUGGCUCACCUAGGCGACGAUACAUAGCCGACCUGAGAGGGUGAUCGGCCACACUGGGACUGAGACACGGCCCAGACUCCUACGGGAG